UUCACCCACAGCGUGCUUUAGGGUGCCGGGGUCAGACUUGAUGUUUGAAAUACAGAUCGACAGCUCAGAUUUAACUGUCUGUAGUUAAAUCUGUAUUAACACCCAUUUUGAUGGGUGUUAAACUUUCACUCAAAGCCGCCAGGAGCUGGGUCUUUAAAAUAACCACCAUCUCGUUACAGAGUGAAAGUAGCAGUUCCUCCUUAAGGUCAGAGAUUGCAGCAUCUGAGGGCCUCUUCAAAAGAAGACGUAGCUGAUGAAGGCGUUCUGGAGCAGGACCAGAAAGACCACGACCAAGCAGCCUUGAGAUCUUAGGCAGCGUCUCCCUCAGGUCCCUCUCUAUCUCCCCACACAUCCACCAACCACUGGAACACAUCUCCAAAGUUCUGCCGGGCCAGCUCAGCUUCCCCUCAGAAGAAGUGCUGCCACCUGCCAGAUGAAGGAGCCUUUUGAGAGGCAGCUGGCAUCGUGAUUGGACUGUACUUUGGUCUGUUCCAAUCCAGCUUCAGCUCCAGAGACGGCAGGCGGGACGAGUCAACGGAGGCCGGGUGGACGAAGGCAUGCAGCUGAGUACAAUCCAGAAAACAACAGAGGAGGAGUGCAGUGGCCCAGAGCCAGAACAACCACAGUAGCAUCGUAUGUCUCUUAAAAAACAUCAUAGUAGAGCCUUUGGGAUGAAAAAACACCAUCAUAUACAUCGUAUAUUGUACAAAUAACAAGUCAAAGCAAAGAGACAUACAUUGUAGAAUUGUAGUAAUUGUGGACUGACUGAUUUACAGAUUAUCAGUAUUUUAUUUUUUACUGAUUUACGGUAAUAAAUACAUUUAAAAAUGGU